UGACCUCCCGACAAUAUGUCAGGAGGACUGUCUGCUUCUAGACCGCAGCUGACCACCAAUCAAAGAAACCAUGGAAAGUAAAACAGCAGGUGACUCCCCAAAUGGCGUAACAGAAACUCGGUCACCUGACUUUCCAUCCGGAAUAUGCCUCCAGAGAAAAAGGAACCCAGAAAGUGGUAAAGCCAUUAAGUCUUCCCAGGCAGCUGAAGUCACAAGAUUAUGAGCUUUGAAGACCGGAGUACACAGCUGAGCCCAUUCUCCCACCAUAAACACCAACAGGCAAGGCUAUCAGCCACAAGCUUUCACAGCUGCCAAGGUGGUGUUCUCUGCCCUGUGCUGCACAUCCAAGCAUGAGCUCCAUGAGCUCCUGCCUUCCUCGCUCCCACAAUGCUUUGCACGGCGUCUACGAAGGCUGCUACCGAUAACUGUCCAGCUGCCUGGGUCUAAUUACAUGAGGAGGGGCCUUCGCUCAGGCAAACUGAAAUGACUGGUUUCUCUAGUCUUCUGUA